rnacentral:rRNA from 1 species
CGCUCUUUGAAAAAGUCUUGAUACAUAAAGAGUUCUGCCUGCCCAGUGACAUCGUGUUAAACGGCCGCGGUAUCUUGACCGUGCGAAGGUAGCAUAAUCAUUUGCCCUUUAAAUGGGGGCUGGUAUGAAUGGCAAGACGGAAAUCUGACUGUCUCCCUUUUAAGAUUCUUGAAAUUAAUAUCCCCGUGAAGAAGCGGAGAUAAAGUCGUGGGACGAGAAGACCCUAUCGAGUUUUAGUAGGAUCUCUAAAUCUAGAAAGUACUAUUUUAAGCUGAUUACAAAAAAUAAAAUAAUCUCACUUACCAGAAGUAUAAAGUUUUAGGGUUAAAUACUUUAAUUGGGGCAAUUACGGAGAAAACUAAUCCUCCGAUCUGAAAAACUUAUUUUGCAAAAAACAUUUUGCAAAUGUAAAAAUUACACACUAAUGAUCCACUUAAUAAAGUGAACAAAGGAACAAAUUACCGUAGGGAUAACAGCGUUAUUCUCUUAGAGAGUCCACAUUGAUAAGAGAGUUUGCGACCUCGAUGUUGGAUCGGGACUCCCCAGAAAUGCAGCAGUUUCUAAAGGUUGGUCUGUUCGACCAUUAAAGUCCU